rnacentral:rRNA from 1 species
UACGUAGGGUGCAGGCGUUAAUCGGAAUUACUGGGCGUAAAGCGUGCGUAGGCGGUCUUUUAAGUCCGUUGUGAAAGCCCUGGGCUCAACCUGGGAAUGGCAGUGGAUACUGGAAGGCUGGAGUACGGUAGAGGAGGGUGGAAUUCCCGGUGUAGCGGUGAAAUGCGUAGAGAUCGGGAGGAACAUCAGUGGCGAAGGCGGCCCUCUGGACCAGUACUGACGCUGAGGCACGAAAGCGUGGGGAGCAAACAGG